UAGCAAUACUUGAGUGAGAGUGGCGCACGGGUGCGUAACACGUAUGCAACCUACCUUUAACUGGUACAUAACAUUUCGAAAGGGGUGCUAAUAUACCAUGUGAUUAUUGAGAGGCAUCUUUUGAUAAUUAAAGAUUAAUUGGUUAAAGCUGGGCAUGCGUCCCAUUAGCUAGUUGGAGAGGUAACGGCUCCCCAAGGCGACGAUGGGUAGGGGUUCUGAGAGGAUGAUCCCCCACACUGGUACUGAGACACGGACCAGACUCCUACGGGAGGCAGCAGUAAGGAAUAUUGGUCAAUGGGCGGAAGCCUGAACCAGCCAUGCCGCGUGCAGGAAGACGGCCCUAUGGGUUGUAAACUGCUUUUGUCAGGGGAUAAACCUAUCUACGAGUAGAUAGCUGAAGGUACCUGAAGAAUAAGGAUCGGCUAACUCCGUGCCAGCAGCCGCGGUAAUACGGAGGAUCCGAGCGUUAUCCGGAUUUAUUGGGUUUAAAGGGUGCGCAGGCGGACUGGUAAGUCAGGGGUGAAAAUCUACGGCUCAACUGUAGACGUGCCUUUGAUACUGCCAGACUAGAGUUAAGAUGGAGUGGGCGGAAUGUGUUGUGUAGCGGUGAAAUGCUUAGAUAUAACACAGAACACCGAUCGCGAAGGCAGCUCACUAAACUUUGACUGACGCUCAUGCACGAAAGCGUGGGGAUCAAACAGGAUUAGAUACCCUGGUAGUCCACGCUGUAAACGAUGAUCACUCGCUGUUGGCGAUAUACCGUCAGUGGCUA
rnacentral:rRNA from 1 species